rnacentral:rRNA from 1 species
UACGAGGGAUGCAAGCGUUAUCCGGAAUUAUUGGGCGUAAAGCGUUUGUAGGCGGGCGAGUGUGUUUAAUGUUAAAUCUUAAAGCUCAACUUUGAAAUUGCGUUAAAAACUGCUUGUCUUGAGUAUGGUAGGGGUAAAGGGAAUUCCCAGUGUAGCGGUGAAAUGCGUAGAUAUUGGGAAGAACACUAAACAGCGAAGGCACUUUACUAGGCUAAUACUGACGCUGAGAAACGAAAGGUAAGGUAGCGAAACGGAUUAGAUACCCGUGUAGUCUUACCCGUAAACUAUGGACACUAAACGGUAAAUUUUUAAUUUACUGUUAAAGCUAACGCGUUAAGCGUCCCGCCUGGGGAGUAUGCUUGCAAAAGUGAAACUCAAAGGAAUUGACGGGGGCCCGCACAAGCGGUGGAGCAUGUGGUUUAGUUCGACGGUACACGAAGAACCUUACCAGGAUUUGACAUGCUAGAUAGUUGCUUGAAAGAGUAACGUGCCGUAAGGAAUCUAGACACAGGUGGUGCAUGGCUGUCGUCAGUUCGUGUUGUGAAAUGUUGGGUUAAGUCCCGCAACGAACGCAACCCUUGUCUUUAGUUAUUUUCUAAAGAGACUGCCUGUAAUAAACAGGAGGAAGGUAAGGAUGAGGUCAAGUCAUCAUGCCCCUUAUGUCCUGGGCUACACACGUGCUACAAUGGGAAAGACAAUGAGCUGCAAAUCUGUAAAUUUAAGCAAAUCUCUUAAACUUUCUCGUAGUUCGGAUUGUGGGCUGCAACUCGCCCACAUGAAGUUGGAAUCGCUAGUAAUCGCCAGUCAGCUAUAUGGCGGUGAAUCCGUUCCCGGGCCU